rnacentral:rRNA from 1 species
CUGGAGACAGGUGGCUGCAUGGCUGUCGUCAGCUCGUGUCGGUGAGAUGUUGGGUUAAGUCCCGCAACGAGCGCAACCCUUGCCUUUAGUUGCCAGCAGUUCGGCUGGGCACUCUAAAGGGACUGCCGGUGUUAAACCGGAGGAAGGUGGGGAUGACGUCAAGUCCUCAUGGCCUUUAUGACCAGAGCUACACACGUACUACAAUGGCCGAUACAAAGGGCAGCGACACUGCGAGGUGAAGCCAAUCCCGUAAAAUCGGUCUCAGUCCGGAUUGGAGUCUGCAACUCGACUCCAUGAAGUUGGAAUCGCUAGUAAUCGUGGAUCAGCAUGCCACGGUGAAUACGUUCCCGGGCCUU